AAAUGGAACUACAGAAAUAUUACCGAAAGCGAAACUGAGCAACCAAUCUCAGCGGCAUCGCGACAGACAUCACUGUUUGCGGCUUUUCUUUUUAGGUUUUCUUGCCAGUUGUACGCGUUCUCGCUGCGGCAGCUUUUGUUGGUGCCGCAAUUAGUGUGGCUCUACCGAGGGCGUAGGUUGCUGUAAUUUCACUUAGUUGGCAAUCUCGGUGAGCUAUGAGUUUGCUUAACGUUUCCGAUGGCGGUACAGAAACGCUCGCAUAAUGUGCUGAUGCUGGUUACGAAGGCGAAAGUUAACGACGGCUUCUACAGUGGUUGCUUCACUAAAACGGAUAUUUUUGGCUAAACUAUGUGGUGAUUGGGUUUGUCCAUUUCGAUGCAGCGCCACAGCGCUGCAAGUUUUGGGCAUAAGGGCCGCACCGUGGCGAGGUCGCUUUCGAACUUGGCGCGCGCGGCCACCGCUCACCCUCUCUCUUUCCUUCGGGGGCACCAGCGGGACCGUAAAACACUUGCUGCUGUCCCCACCCAAACGGCCCAGGGUGGGAACUCGCGUCCUCUCUCUCCUGGACGCUCCAGCCUACCCGGGAGAGGGUGUGCGGAGAUAAGCUCUCGGAAGGCGAAACGCUGCACCAGCGAUGUGCUAUUGGACAAAUUCGUCGGCGGGUCUGAUUUCAAACAACUGUACCGUGCCUUGUCACAAUGACACGUCGUCGUGGAAUCAAACCGAUCUUGAGAAUGCUACAUGUUACUACGAUUACACUGGGCCAGAACAACUUCUGGGAGAAUACAUAUAUAUAACUGCAGUUUGGGUCACUGCGUCAAUGGCAGUUGCAUCCCAGACGGUACAUGCGGUGACUGCUGGUCACGGAAGCAAGAGGAAGCAUGACGUAUUCGCUGAAAGUGCUUACAACCCCACGAGUGAAGAAAACCAGCACUUCCAUUUGGCGUUUAGGCUUAAUAAGGUCAUCUAGAAGCAGUUCAGCAGAAGUUGUGGGUUGGUAAAAGGAAAUAAAUUUUUCAUUGGAUGAGAAACGUUGUGCCGUGA